GCUAGCUUUGGCAGCGCAUAUACUAAAAUUGCAAUGAUGCAGAGAAGGUUAGCAUGGACCCUGUGAGAGGGUGACAUGCGCAAAUUCAUGAAGCCUUCCAUCCAAAA
rnacentral:snRNA from 1 species